rnacentral:rRNA from 1 species
UACGUAGGGUGCGAGCGUUAUUCGGAAUUACUGGGCGUAAAGCGCGCGUAGGCGGUUCGUCAAGUCAGGUGUGAAAUCCCCGGGCUUAACCUGGGAAUGGCAUUUGGGACUGCAAGGCUCGAGUGCGGCAGAGGAGACUGGAAUUCCUGGUGUAGCAGUGAAAUGCGUAGAUAUCAGGAGGAACACCGAUGGCGAAGGCAGGUCUCUGGGCUGACACUGACGCUCAUGCACGAAAGCGUGGGGAGCAAACAGG